UGGGGAAUAUUGCGCAAUGGACGAAAGUCUGACGGAGCAACGCCGCGUGAGUGAAGACGGCCUUCGGGUUGUAAAGCUCUGUGAUCCGGGACGAAAGAGCCUGAGGUGAAUAGCCUAAGGAAGUGACGGUACCGGAAAAGCAAGCCACGGCUAACUACGUGCCAGCAGCCGCGGUAAUACGUAGGUGGCAAGCGUUGUCCGGAAUUAUUGGGCGUAAAGCGCGCGCAGGCGGCUUCCUAAGUCCAUCUUAAAAGUGCGGGGCUUAACCCCGUGAUGGGAUGGAAACUGGGAAGCUGGAGUAUCGGAGAGGAAAGUGGAAUUCCUAGUGUAGCGGUGAAAUGCGUAGAGAUUAGGAAGAACACCGGUGGCGAAGGCGACUUUCUGGACGAAAACUGACGCUGAGGCGCGAAAGCGUGGGGAGCAAACAGG
rnacentral:rRNA from 1 species